AGUGGCUAAGACUGGAUAGGAAGAUAAAAGGCAUCUUUUAUCUUUUAAAAGACCUAGUAAUAGGUAUGCUUUAGGAGGGGCUUGCGCCAUAUUAGUUAGUUGGUAGGGUAAUGGCCUACCAAGACGAUGAUGUGUAGCUGGACUGAGAGGUUGAACAGCCACAUUGGGACUGAGACACGGCCCAAACUCCUACGGGAGGCAGCAGUAGGGAAUUUUCGGCAAUGGAGGAAACUCUGACCGAGCAACGCCGCGUGAAUGACGAAGUACUUCGGUAUGUAAAGUUCUUUUAUCAAGGAAGAAAAGCAAAUGGCGAACCAUUUGUUUGCCGGUACUUGAUGAAUAAGCCCCGGCUAAUUAUGUGCCAGCAGCCGCGGUAAGACAUAAGGGGCAAGUGUUAUCCGGAAUUAUUGGGCGUAAAGGGUGCGUAGGCGGUCUAGUAAGUCAGUGGUGUAAUGGCAACGCUUAACGUUGUCCGGCUAUUGAAACUGCUAAACUUGAGUUAGAUAGAGGCGAGUGGAAUUCCAUGUGUAGCGGUAAAAUGCGUAAAUAUAUGGAGGAACACCAGAGGCGUAGGCGGCUCGCUGGGUCUUAACUGACGCUGAGGCACGAAAGCGUGGGGAGCAAACAGGAUUAGAUACCCUGGUAGUCCACGCCGUAAACGAUGAGUACUAAGUGUCGGGUUAAACCGGUACUGAAGUUAACACAUUAAGUACUCCGCCUGAGUAGUACGUACGCAAGUAUGAAACUUAAAGGAAUUGACGGGACUCCGCACAAGCGGUGGAUCAUGUUGUUUAAUUCGAAGAUACCCGAAAAACCUUACCAGGUCUUGACAUGUUUUUGCAAAAUGAUAGUAAUAUCGUGGAGGUUACCAGAAACACAGGUGGUGCAUGGUUGUCGUCAGCUCGUGUCGUGAGAUGUUAGGUUAAGUCCUAAAACGAGCGAAACCCUUAUCGUUAGUUGCCAGCACGUUAUGGUGGGGACUUUAACGAGACUGCCAAUGAUAAAUUGGAGGAAGGUGAGGAUCACGUCAAAUCAGCAUGCCCCUUAUGACCUGGGCUACAAACGUGAUACAAUGGCUGUUACAAAGGGUAGCUGAAACGCAAGUUCUUGGCCAAUCCCCAAAAACAGUCCCAGUCCGGAUUGAAGUCUGCAACUCGACUUCAUGAAGUUGGAAUCGCUAGUAAUCGCGAAUCAGCAUGUCGCGGUGAAUACGUUCUCGGGGUUUGUACACACCGCCCGUCAAACCACGAAAG
rnacentral:rRNA from 1 species